rnacentral:rRNA from 1 species
UACAGAGGUCUCAAGCGUUGUUCGGAUUCAUUGGGCGUAAAGGGUGCGUAGGCGGCGCGGUAAGUCGGGUGUGAAAUCUUGGAGCUUAACUCCGAAACUGCAUUCGAUACUGCUGUGCUUGAGGACUGGAGAGGAGACUGGAAUUUACGGUGUAGCGGUGAAAUGCGUAGAUAUCGUAAGGAAGACCAGUGGCGAAGGCGGGUCUCUGGACAGUUCCUGACGCUGAGGCACGAAGGUCAGGGGAGCAAACGGG